rnacentral:rRNA from 1 species
AUGAACGCUAGCGACAGGCCUAACACAUGCAAGUCGAGGGGCAGCACAAGGAGCAAUCUGAGGUGGCGACCGGCGCACGGGUGAGUAACACGUAUGCAACCUGCCUGUAAGCGGGGAAUAACCCGUUGAAAGACGGACUAAUACCGCAUAAUACUAAAUUACUGCAUGGUAAUUUAUUUAAACAUUUAUGGCUUACAGAUGGGCAUGCGCAUGAUUAGCUAGUUGGAGAGGUAACGGCUCCCCAAGGCAACGAUCAUUAGGGGUUCUGAGAGGAAGGUCCCCCACACUGGUACUGAGACACGGACCAGACUCCUACGGGAGGCAGCAGUGAGGAAUAUUGGUCAAUGGACGAGAGUCUGAACCAGCCAAGUCGCGUGCAGGAAGAAUGUCCUAAUGGAUUGUAAACUGCUUUUGCAGGGGAAUAAAGUGCAUCACGUGUGAUGUUUUGUAUGUACUCUGCGAAUAAGGAUCGGCUAACUCCGUGCCAGCCGCAGC